AUUUGCUUAACUGUGAUAAUUAUUUCCCUAUGCAUAUGCAAAUUAGAGCAUAAUGUUGAAUCAUAUAUAUAUAUAUAUAUGAUUUUUUUAAAAAGAUAUAUUUGUGUGAGACUUUCCUGAGGAAACCAUGAAAAGAAUAAGAACAAGAAAAGAAUCUUAAGUAAAUUUUUAUGUAUACAUUGUAUAUUAUCACAGUGAUGAUAAAACAGGCAAUUGAAAUAAUGUACUACAUUUAAAUUUGUCAUAGCAGACACAUAAUAUUUAAUAACAUAGCUUUUUAAAAUGAGUUUACUUUGUGUUUAUUUUCAUGAGAAAAGAUGUUUGAUACAUGAUUGAAUACAUAAUGCAAUUUAUGAAAAUAUGUGUAAAAUAUGAUACCAUUUUGUUAACUACAUAACAAUUGUAUAACUAUGUGUGUAUAUGUAUGAGUUUCUUUUGAAUACACAUGUAAAAGUAUGCUAAUCGUGCUUUUAUUAUGUUAAUAGUAACAGUUAUGUUAAUCAUCACUGUUACUAUUGAGGUUUGGGAAUAAAGAGGUUUUAAGUAUCUCAACUUUCAAAGAAAUUUUAUACAUCUCAUUUAUUUUUUUAACAAAAUACUUUAAAAA
rnacentral:lncRNA from 1 species